ACGGCUGUCGUCAGCUCGUGUCGUGAGAUGUUGGGUUAAGUCCCGCAACGAGCGCAACCCUCGUUCUAUGUUGCCAGCACGUCAUGGUGGGAACUCAUAGGAGACUGCCGGGGUCAACUCGGAGGAAGGUGGGGAUGACGUCAAAUCAUCAUGCCCCUUAUGUCUUGGGCUUCACGCAUGCUACAAUGGCCGAUACAAAGGGCUGCAAUACCGUAAGGUGGAGCGAAUCCCAAAAAGUCGGUCUCAGUUCGGAUUGAGGUCUGCAACUCGACCUCAUGAAGUCGGAGUCGCUAGUAAUCGCAGAUCAGCAACGCUGCGGUGAAUACGUUCCCGGGCCUUGUACACACCGCCCGUCAAGUCAUGAAAGUCGGUAACACCCGAAGCCAGUGGCCCAACCGCAAGGAGGGAGCUGUCGAAGGUGGGAUCGGUGAUUAGGACUAAGUCGUAACAAGGUAGCCGUACCGGAAGGUGCGGCUGGAUCACCUCCUUUCUAAGGAGCACUGCAUU
rnacentral:rRNA from 1 species